GGUUAAGCGACUAAGCGUACACGGUGGAUGCCCUGGCAGUCAGAGGCGAUGAAGGACGUGCUAAUCUGCGAUAAGCGUCGGUAAGGUGAUAUGAACCGUUAUAACCGGCGAUUUCCGAAUGGGGAAACCCAGUGUGAUUCGUCACACUAUCAUUAACUGAAUCCAUAGGUUAAUGAGGCGAACCGGGGGAACUGAAACAUCUAAGUACCCCGAGGAAAAGAAAUCAACCGAGAUUCCCCCAGUAGCGGCGAGCGAACGGGGAGCAGCCCAGAGCCUGAAUCAGUGUGUGUGUUAGUGGAAGCGUCUGGAAAGGCGUGCGAUACAGGGUGACAGCCCCGUACACAAAAAUGCACAUACUGUGAGCUCGAUGAGUAGGGCGGGACACGUGGUAUCCUGUCUGAAUAUGGGGGGACCAUCCUCCAAGGCUAAAUACUCCUGACUGACCGAUAGUGAACCAGUACCGUGAGGGAAAGGCGAAAAGAACCCCGGCGAGGGGAGUGAAAAAGAACCUGAAACCGUGUACGUACAAGCAGUGGGAGCACGCUUAGGCGUGUGACUGCGUACCUUUUGUAUAAUGGGUCAGCGACUUAUAUUCUGUAGCAAGGUUAACCGAAUAGGGGAGCCGAAGGGAAACCGAGUCUUAACUGGGCGUUAAGUUGCAGGGUAUAGACCCGAAACCCGGUGAUCUAGCCAUGGGCAGGUUGAAGGUUGGGUAACACUAACUGGAGGACCGAACCGACUAAUGUUGAAAAAUUAGCGGAUGACUUGUGGCUGGGGGUGAAAGGCCAAUCAAACCGGGAGAUAGCUGGUUCUCCCCGAAAGCUAUUUAGGUAGCGCCUCGUGAAUUCAUCUCCGGGGGUAGAGCACUGUUUCGGCAAGGGGGUCAUCCCGACUUACCAACCCGAUGCAAACUGCGAAUACCGGAGAAUGUUAUCACGGGAGACACACGGCGGGUGCUAACGUCCGUCGUGAAGAGGGAAACAACCCAGACCGCCAGCUAAGGUCCCAAAGUCAUGGUUAAGUGGGAAACGAUGUGGGAAGGCCCAGACAGCCAGGAUGUUGGCUUAGAAGCAGCCAUCAUUUAAAGAAAGCGUAAUAGCUCACUGGUCGAGUCGGCCUGCGCGGAAGAUGUAACGGGGCUAAACCAUGCACCGAAGCUGCGGCAGCGACGCUUAUGCGUUGUUGGGUAGGGGAGCGUUCUGUAAGCCUGUGAAGGUGUGCUGUGAGGUAUGCUGGAGGUAUCAGAAGUGCGAAUGCUGACAUAAGUAACGAUAAAGCGGGUGAAAAGCCCGCUCGCCGGAAGACCAAGGGUUCCUGUCCAACGUUAAUCGGGGCAGGGUGAGUCGACCCCUAAGGCGAGGCCGAAAGGCGUAGUCGAUGGGAAACAGGUUAAUAUUCCUGUACUUGGUGUUACUGCGAAGGGGGGACGGAGAAGGCUAUGUUGGCCGGGCGACGGUUGUCCCGGUUUAAGCGUGUAGGCUGGUUUUCCAGGCAAAUCCGGAAAAUCAAGGCCGAGGCGUGAUGACGAGGCACUACGGUGCUGAAGCAACAAAUGCCCUGCUUCCAGGAAAAGCCUCUAAGCAUCAGGUAACAUCAAAUCGUACCCCAAACCGACACAGGUGGUCAGGUAGAGAAUACCAAGGCGCUUGAGAGAACUCGGGUGAAGGAACUAGGCAAAAUGGUGCCGUAACUUCGGGAGAAGGCACGCUGAUACGUAGGUGAAGCGACUUGCUCGUGGAGCUGAAAUCAGUCGAAGAUACCAGCUGGCUGCAACUGUUUAUUAAAAACACAGCACUGUGCAAACACGAAAGUGGACGUAUACGGUGUGACGCCUGCCCGGUGCCGGAAGGUUAAUUGAUGGGGUUAGCGCAAGCGAAGCUCUUGAUCGAAGCCCCGGUAAACGGCGGCCGUAACUAUAACGGUCCUAAGGUAGCGAAAUUCCUUGUCGGGUAAGUUCCGACCUGCACGAAUGGCGUAAUGAUGGCCAGGCUGUCUCCACCCGAGACUCAGUGAAAUUGAACUCGCUGUGAAGAUGCAGUGUACCCGCGGCAAGACGGAAAGACCCCGUGAACCUUUACUAUAGCUUGACACUGAACAUUGAGCCUUGAUGUGUAGGAUAGGUGGGAGGCUUUGAAGUGUGGACGCCAGUCUGCAUGGAGCCGACCUUGAAAUACCACCCUUUAAUGUUUGAUGUUCUAACGUGGACCCGUGAUCCGGGUUGCGGACAGUGUCUGGUGGGUAGUUUGACUGGGGCGGUCUCCUCCUAAAGAGUAACGGAGGAGCACGAAGGUUGGCUAAUCCUGGUCGGACAUCAGGAGGUUAGUGCAAUGGCAUAAGCCAGCUUGACUGCGAGCGUGACGGCGCGAGCAGGUGCGAAAGCAGGUCAUAGUGAUCCGGUGGUUCUGAAUGGAAGGGCCAUCGCUCAACGGAUAAAAGGUACUCCGGGGAUAACAGGCUGAUACCGCCCAAGAGUUCAUAUCGACGGCGGUGUUUGGCACCUCGAUGUCGGCUCAUCACAUCCUGGGGCUGAAGUAGGUCCCAAGGGUAUGGCUGUUCGCCAUUUAAAGUGGUACGCGAGCUGGGUUUAGAACGUCGUGAGACAGUUCGGUCCCUAUCUGCCGUGGGCGCUGGAGAACUGAGGGGGGCUGCUCCUAGUACGAGAGGACCGGAGUGGACGCAUCACUGGUGUUCGGGUUGUCAUGCCAAUGGCACUGCCCGGUAGCUAAAUGCGGAAGAGAUAAGUGCUGAAAGCAUCUAAGCACGAAACUUGCCCCGAGAUGAGUUCUCCCUGACCCUUUAAGGGUCCUGAAGGAACGUUGAAGACGACGACGUUGAUAGGCCGGGUGUGUAAGCGCAGCGAUGCGUUGAGCUAACCG
rnacentral:rRNA from 1 species